rnacentral:Y_RNA from 1 species
GGCUGGUCCAAGUGCAGUGGUGUUUACAACUCAUUGAUCACAACCAUUUACAGAUGUCUUUGUUUCUUCUCCACUCUCACUGCUUCAUUUGACUAGCCUUAC